GGCGAACGGGUGAGUAACACGUGGGUGACCUGCCCUCCACUCCGGGAUAAGCCUGGGAAACCGGGUCUAAUACCGGAUAGGACCUCUGGGUGCAUGCCUGGUGGUGGAAAGUUUUUUCGGUGGGGGAUGGGCCCGCGGUCUAUCAGCUUGUUGGUGGGGUGAUGGCCUACCAAGGCGACGACGGAUAGCCGGCCUGAGAGGGUGAUCGGCCACACUGGGACUGAGACACGGCCCAGACUCCUACGGGAGGCAGCAGUGGGGAAUCUUGCGCAAUGGGCGGAAGCCUGACGCAGCAACGCCGCGUGAGGGAUGACGGCCUUCGGGUUGUAAACCUCUUUCGCGAUCGACGAAGGUCCGGUUUUUGCUGGGCUGACGGUAGGUCGAGAAGAAGCACCGGCCAACUACGUGCCAGCAGCCGCGGUAAUACGUAGGGUGCGAGCGUUGUCCGGAAUUAUUGGGCGUAAAGAGCUCGUAGGCGGUGUGUCGCGUCGGCCGUGAAAACCUGGGGCUCAACUCUGGGCGUGCGGUCGAUACGGGCAUCACUUGAGUUCGGCAGGGGAGACUGGAAUUCCUGGUGUAGCGGUGAAAUGCGCAGAUAUCAGGAGGAACACCGGUGGCGAAGGCGGGUCUCUGGGCCGAUA
rnacentral:rRNA from 1 species